rnacentral:rRNA from 1 species
AUUGAACGCUGGCGGCAGGCUUAACACAUGCAAGUCGAGCGGAGAUGAGGUGCUUGCACCUUAUCUUAGCGGCGGACGGGUGAGUAAUGCUUAGGAAUCUGCCUAUUAGUGGGGGACAACAUUCCGAAAGGAAUACUAAUACCGCAUACGUCCUACGGGAGAAAGCAGGGGAACUCCGGCCCUUGCGCUAAUAGAUGAGCCUAAGUAGGAUUAGCUAGUUGGUGGGGGAACGGCCUACCAAGGCGACGAUCUGUAGCGGGUCUGAGAGGAUGAUCAGCCACACUGGGACUGAGACACGGCCCAGACUCCUACGGGAGGAAGCAGUGGGGAAUAUUGGACAAUGGGGGGAACCCUGAUCCAGCCAUGCCGCGUGUGUGAAGAAGGCCUUAUGGUUGUAAAGCACUUUAAGCGAGGAGGAGGCUACUGAGACUAAUACUCUUGGAUAGUGGACGUUACUCGCAGAAUAAGCACCGGCUAACUCUGUGCCAGCAGCCGCCGUAAGAC